rnacentral:rRNA from 1 species
UACAGAGGGGGCAAGCGUUAUUCGGAAUUAUUGGGCGUAAAGGGCGCGUAGGCGGCUUUGCAAGUGGCGGGUGAAAUCCCUCGGCUUAACCGAGGAACUGCCUGCCAGACUGUGAGGCUUGAGACCGGGAGAGGUGAGUGGAAUUCCCAGUGUAGCGGUGAAAUGCGCAGAUAUCGGGAGGAACACCAAUGGCGAAGGCAGCUCGCUGGGACGGUACUGACGCUGAGACGCGAAAGCGUGGGGAGCAAACAGG